GCUGGGUGUGGUGGUGUCCACCUGUAAUACCAGCAACUUGGGAGGCUGAGACAGGAGUAUUGCAAGUUCGAGGCCAGUGGUGAGUGAGGCCCUGUGCAACUUUGUGAGACCCUGUCUCAA
rnacentral:sRNA from 1 species